GACGAACGCUGGCGGCGUGCUUAACACAUGCAAGUCGAACGGAAAGGCCCUGCUUGCAGGGUACUCGAGUGGCGAACGGGUGAGUAACACGUGGGUGAUUUGCCCUGCACUUCGGGAUAAGCCUGGGAAACUGGGUCUAAUACCGGAUAGGAGCCAUUUUUAGUGUGAUGGUUGGAAAGUUUUUUCGGUGUAGGAUGAGCUCGCGGCCUAUCAGCUUGUUGGUGGGGUAAUGGCCUACCAAGGCGGCGACGGGUAGCCGGCCUGAGAGGGUGGACGGCCACAUUGGGACUGAGGUACGGCCCAGACUCCUACGGGAGGCAGCAGUGGGGAAGCUUGCACAAUGGGCGCAAGCCUGGUGCAGCGACGCCGCGUGGGGGAUGACGGCCUUCGGGUUGUAAACUCCUUUCGCUAGGGACGAAGCUUUUUGUGACGGUACCUAGAUAAGAAGCACCGGCUAACUACGUG
rnacentral:rRNA from 1 species